GGCUUCCUCCCCCUGCAAUCGGGGCUCUCAGUUCAGCUUGGUGGGUGAAUGCCAUAAUUCUUCCUUGCUGAUUGCUCUGGGAGCCUGAUCUUAAGCCUGACUAAAGACUCUUUGUUCUUGCAUGCUCUCUGGACUCCGUGGUGAUUCUUGGGGACCCGUCCACGGGACACAACAUUUGGGGGCUCACCUGGGAUCCCUAAGACCACCCCCCCAUGGGACCCCAGAGCGUUGAGUCUGCCUGAUCCGAUCGGUGAGUGUCUCUUGUCUUUGUGUCUUUUGUAUUUGCACAUGUCUGGUUUUUGGGCCCAGUUUGAGAUUGCCUCUUGGAGGUCUAGGCAGAUGCGCUGGAAGGGCCCAGGCCGUGGGACUUGGGAGAUGUCCCAGACCCACCUGGUGGGGAUUGGCUCCCCUUGGUAAAUUUGGAAGGACGGAGUGGGUCGCGCCCACCAGGAGGCGAGAGGCCAUCGUCCUAUUUUCAGUUUAAGGCACCAACUAACCGUGUGUUGUUUUUCUGUGUGUUUGUGCUUUUUGUUGUGUUUGUGACUCUUACUGCAUUUAGAAGAGAUGGGACAGAACCAAGUAACUCCUCUUAGCCUUUUCCAGGAUCACUUCUCGGAGUUCAAAGCCCAGGCUGAUAGCCUGGGGUUAAGAGUAAAGAAAAGGAAGCUCUUUAUGUUUUGCAGGAAUGAAUGGCUGACCUUUGGGGCCGGUUGGCCUGAAGAAGGGACUUCGACCUGCCCACCAUCUACAGAGUGAAGGAUAUAAUUUAUGGCCAUCCAGGCCACCCUGAUCAGGUCCCUUACAUCACGACUUGGCAGUUUAUGGUGGAGGAGCCUCCAAAAUGCUUUUGCAGGUCCUGUUCACCACUGAGGAGAGAGACCGGAUUCAAGUUGAAGCCUGCAAAUUGGUCCCUGGGAUGGAUGGGAAUCCUACCACCAACCAGGCCCUGAUUGAUGAAGCUUUCCCCCUAGCUAGACCAAACUGGGACUUCAAUACGGCUGAAGAAAUUGGACAGACUGGCUGAUAAAACCUUGCCAGAACUUCUGGCGGUGGCUGAGAAAGUUUACAAUCACCGAGAGAGUCCUCAGGACAAACAGGCCCAGGUCACUGCCGCUGCCAGCGCCAAGCAGACCCGUGACUUUGCCAAGAUUCUCCUGGCCACGUUGACCAGGUCCCUGGGUGAAAGAGAAUGCCAGCUGUGACGCCUAUCUGCUGAACAAGUUGCGUCAUUCCCUAGAAGUGGUGGCUCAGGCACAUAGGGACAUAUGGCCCCAGCUGAAAGCUAUGAGACUGCUCCACCUCCUACCCCGCACAAAUACCAGCCUGGCGAUUGGGUCUACAUUCGCAGACACUGCCAAGAGACCUUGGAACCUCGCUGGAAAGGACCAUAUGUAGUGCUCCUGACAACCCCAACUGCAGUAAAGGUAGACGGAGUUGCCACCUGUAUUUAUCACACCCACAUCCGACUAGCAAGUUCCUACCCAGACCCAGACAAUCGUCACCCUCCGCUGACCUCUACGCCGGACCCUACAACAUGGAAGGUCCACAAGGAUGCAGACAAUCCCCUCAAGCUAAGGCUGUGCCGCUCUUGAUGUUUACCCUGCUGUUUGGAAUUAACUAUGUAUAACUGCUAACCCUCAUCGACCUUACAAUCUCACCUGGCAGCUCCUGGACACCUCUACUUGGAGACAUCUUGGUCCAGACAUCCAAGAUUGCCCCACUAAACACCUGGUACCCAGAGCUAGGCUUCGACAUCUACCACCUCUUGCUCUCUGGACAGAGCCAUUGGGGGCUGCGUCAUGCUUACUACUAUGUCUGUCCUGGGAGCAGAGGAAGAGACUGGGGGAAACAAUGUGGGGGAGCCAGUGAUUAUUUUUGUAAAUCCUGGGACUGUGUGAGCAUGGGAGACAUCUAUUGGACAGCCCCUGUUAAAGAUGAUCUUAUCAAGGUUGUCCGUAACAACACCCUCGAUGCCAUUUAUCGUGGGCAGAGGGUUAGAACAUGUCCUAUGAAAACAGGCUGCAACCCUGUUAAGGUGGUGUUUACUGAUGCAGGAAAAAGAGACACCACUUGGGAGGUAGGGAAAACCUGAGGAUUGAGAACUCUCAACCCAAGCCCAGGGGGGUUCUUCACUGUCAUCCUCAGAAAGGAAACCCCCACCUCUCUGAUACCCCAAGGUGUUGGCCCCCAUCCAGUCUUAGUGCCCCUAGAACCCAACUCCAGCCCUAAGCGCCCACCUCCAAGGGAAAGUACAACAGUCUUUGGGAGAGCAGCAGUAGCCACGGAGACACCUACAGCUUCACCCUCAGACCACCCUAUUUGGCCGCUGGUCACCUCCACUUUUGAGGUGCUCAAUGCCUCCAAGCCAAACCUAACUGUGGAGUGCUGGCUCUGUUAGAGUGCCCAGCCACCCUUCUAUGUGGGCAUAGCUGUAAUAGGUAAUUACUCCCAAGUUAAUAGUAACCAAUGCACCUGGGGACAGCAAGGAAAACUCUCUCCAACAAGUAACUGGGGCAGGGACCUGUGCCCUGCCCCCUGGUGCCCAGGUCCCGCCAGGGCUAUGUAACCAUGUAGUCUCUGUUUCAAAUGAUACUUAGUACUCUGCCACUGUUGGAUGGUGGGCUUGUUCUACUGGUUUGACCCCCUGCAUUCAGGGGACCGUCCCUAAUAACAAGAAAGGUUACUGUGUCAUGGUACAGUUAUUCCCCAUGAUGACUUACUACGAGGAGACCCAGAUGGAACUAGCCUACGCACCCCUUUCUGCCCCCAGAACUAAGAGAGCCAUGGGGCAGCAGCCAUUUUGUUAUCCUCCUUGAUUGGUCCAGGUAUAGCUGGAGCAACUGGAGUGGGCACCUCAGCCUUAAUUUUACAGGACCAAAACUACAAAGCUCUCCAGGUAGCAAUUGAUGUAGACCUCAGGAGUCUGGAACAGUCUGUAACUAAAUUAGAACAAUCUCUAAACUCAUUUGCUGAGCUCACCUUACAGAAGAGGUCUUGACCUCCUUCUUAUGCAACAAGGGGGCUUGUGUGCAGCCUUAAAAGAAGAAUGCUGCUUUUGUGCUAACCAUUCUGGUGUGAUUAGAGAUUCUAGGGCUCUGCUCGGGAAACUUAUCAA